CACGUAGGGUGCGAGCGUUGUCCGGAAUUAUUGGGCGUAAAGAGCUCGUAGGCGGUGUGUCGCGUCGGCCCGUGAAAACCUGCAGCUUAACUGUGGGCUUGCGGUCGAUACGGGCAUCACUGGAGUUCGGCAGGGGAGACUGGAAUUCCUGGUGUAGCGGUGAAAUGCGCAGAUAUCAGGGAGGAACACCGGUGGCGAAGGCGGGUCUCUGGGCCGGUACUGGACGCUGGAGACGCGAAAGCGUCGGGGAGCGAACAGG
rnacentral:rRNA from 1 species